GUAAAGACGAAUUUAUUCUGGUACCUUCCAUUAGAAUCAUGGAUAAAGUUUUUGAAAUUCAGAAACAAGCUCGAAAUAAUGUUAAAGAUUUGCAAACUUACAUGACAGACUUGCAGAAUUGGGAAGCAGAAAUGAAAAGAAAAGAGGCUGCUUUGAACGGUGCUUUCGAACAGGACCUGCCCCCAGUUCGGAGCAAGGUAAAGAAAGAAAAGCCAGUAGUUCCUCAGAAGAAACCUGAGAGGAAGAUCAGAGGUUCUGAUUAUUCAGCAUGGGACAAAUAUGAUGUUGAUAAAGCCUGUGAGGACAUAGACAUGGAAGACGUCGGCCCGACUUCUUUAGAUGGCAAGAAGAGCCAGCAAGCCAAGCUGGAGAAACUCAAGGAGGAAGCUCAGUACGAGAAGGAGAGGGGCAACACAUUUGUGAAGCAAGAAAAAUGGGAUGAGGCGAUAUCCUGCUACAACCGAGCUAUAGAACUGGUGAAAGAUGACGCCAUUUACUUUGCUAACCGAGGACUGUGUUAUUUGAAGAAAGACAGUCUUCAUCAAGCUGAAUCAGACUGCACAGAGGCCUUGCGUCUCGACCCUACCUAUGUCAAAGCUUUACAAAGAAGAGCCACUGCCCGGGAGCGACUCGGCUCACUCCGGUCUGCGUCACAUGAUCUCACUGAAGUGCUCAAAUUAGAACCACAUAAUGCUGCAGCUAGGAAACAAUUAGAAGCUAUCAAGACUAGAAUGGGGACUAAAGGGGCUAAAUCAAAAUCGUCACCAGUAUCGACGCCUACGUCUGAGAACAAACCAAUAGUUAAACCUAAAAUACAACCAAAGAUAGUAGAACUACCAUCAGAGCCGCCCGUGGCUGGCCAGCUCAUUGCAGAUGACUGGAGAAGCGGAGUCGGAGAGAACAUCAUGGUCAUCAGACCUGUAAAGAAGCCUCCACAUUUGAGAUCUAAGAGACCACUAAAGUCCAUACCAAUCCAAGAAGUAUUACUAGGAGAGACAACGCCAGAGAAACCACCGACUCGGUUGAAAAUUGUGGACGUUGAAGACAACCUGUCCCAAGGAGAUUCGAAUAACAAUGACUCCAAUAAGAAGGACUCUCAUGGGAAGACAGAUGUUUAUGGUGAAGGGGACAAGAAGGUUGCUAGUCCGGAGUCAGUGAAGCUGGUCUCCGAUGCAAUGGUUACAGAGAAAGUCAAGAAUUUUGUACCACCUGUCAAUAGUGUUCAGUUUAUGUCGGAGUGGAAGUAUAUGAAGGGGCAGUGGGAUGCCAUGGCUGAAUAUUGGAAUCUAAUAGAACCGUCAAAGAUCCCGUCCAUAUUCGCGAACGCGCUGGAGAGCUCCGUGGUAUCGGACGUCAUACAAGUGCUACACUCCCGACGGGACAAGUUCCGCGGCCGCACUGCGGCAUACCUCGCCGGUAUCGCCAACGUACCACGGUUCUCAGCCCUCGCCAUGUUCCUCUCACAUACGGACAAACAGAUGUUAACAACUCUUCUCGAGGAUUGUAAGCAGUCUGAAAACUGUACCGACGAAGUGAUAGCUGAUUUAAAGAACAAAUAUGAACUCUGAACUUAGCUACUUGUCAAUAUUAGGUUCAUAGUUCUACACUGAUUGUAAUGUAGAUCAAGUCAUCGAGUCGAGUGAAUAGUUUGGAAUUUGUUUGAAGAACAAAAUAUUGUGAAGAUGGAUAAGUUGAUCGUAUAAAAUAUGUAAUUUCGUAAUGAUAAUAGCGGUGAGCGAAAAUAUAUAAAUAUACAGAAUACAACUUCGACAGACUGUUGAACUAUUGGCCUUUGUAACUAUCAUGAGACAUACUAAAUUAAUUAUUAUGUUUUCGGCGUACUUACGUAACUGUUUGACGAGGAAUUGGGAUG